CACCCCCAUUGUGAGAUGUCGGUAGGGGUUAUGUGAACCGCUACCUGUACACUUUGCAGGUUUCUUGUAAUAACACAACCAACACAUUUGCAAUGUAAAGAAAAAGCCCUCUAUGUUAAAUAAUAAUAAUUAGAAUAAUGAUUAUAGAGAAAUGAUCAAUAUUGAAGGAUAUGGAUUAUAUAUAAAAAUAUACAUAAUUGGUUAGUUACCUAUUUGAAAUAGGGUUAGGGCCACUAGGAGCCUCAUGAGCAGCAGCAUUGAACACUCGAGGCUUGUGGGAUGAAGAUGAAGCUGGUGAAGGGUUAAUCCUAAAAUGCCUAUCCUUUCGGCCUAUCAGAAAUCUGCCAGUAAUUCUGCCUCUAUGAUCUCCUAAGCUGUGUUCCCGUUGCUCGGCCGUUGCCAGAAGAAGGAAGAGCAAGAGAGUGAAGGAGGCAAUAUGUGGAGAAAUGGAGGUGGUGGUGCUCAUUAUGCAAUUCAUAAUCCCAUCCCUUUCCAUACAAAAAUCAUCUAUAAAAUGGAGGGCCUGGAAAUUGAAGGACCUCGAGAAGAAUAGAAAAGCACGGUUGUAUAAGCUUACUUGGUAUGUUUACACACUCGAACGAUGAUGAGGAGGGGAGAAAUGAAACUUGCUGAGAGUGAGCAGGCAGAGAUGUAUUGAUUGCUUUAUCAAACUCAUUAAUUUUGCUCCUGAUUAAAGUAGGAAAGAUAAAAUGGAGAUAGAGACAAACAAGUGGAUCCCAUACACGAUGAGAAUCAAUGUUCGAAGAGACAUGCAACUGGAGUCUACUACGAAUUUAUCAACAUAACAAGUCAUGUGGCAACCGGCUAAGCAAAAUUUAACGUAAGGUCAACACUCCACUUAGCAUCGCCUCAGGUUGUGCCUUUAGAUGCCUCACUUGAU
rnacentral:lncRNA from 1 species